rnacentral:sRNA from 12 species
ACGUCUGGUUGAUUCGUCCCAGCGUGGCUAAGGGACGGACAUAAUGAGAAGGAACUGAGCAGAAAAAUGUCUGGUUGGGUGGCGAAGC